AUGAGGGAGAUGGGACGGUCGUAAGGCGGCGAGGUCGGCCGAGGAAAGUAAGGAACCUCGAGGGAAAGAAACUGUUUCACGGCGAAGGUUCCAGCGGAGAAGAUUCCAUUAGCGUCACUGAACAGAUCAGUCAGGACGAGGACGAAGAAGAGGAGCAGCAGCCUCUCGUUCAUUCACUCAAGACUUCCGCUUCUAAGCUUAGAGCUCUAAGAAUCUCUCAGCAGCAGGAAGCAAGAGCUCAGCCUGGAACCUCUUCAUCUGCAGGGAGGAAUGUAUAGCCAUUCCAUAGGAAAGAAACUGGAAGCACAGUUUUCAAAGCAUAUCGAAGUAUGAGACAAAAUAGUUAGCUUUUAAGGCUGUAAAUAUAAUUAAUUACAGUUUGUAAUUUAAAACAACAUCCGUGGCAUUUUGGACUUUUAUUUUCUGUUUUA